UACGGAGGAUCCGAGCGUUAUCCGGAUUUAUUGGGUUUAAAGGGUGCGUAGGCGGCCUAUUAAGUCAGGGGUGAAAGACGGUAGCUUAACUAUCGCAGUGCCUUUGAUACUGAUAGGCUUGAAUGUACUUGAGGUAGGCGGAAUGUGACAAGUAGCGGUGAAAUGCAUAGAUAUGUCACAGAACACCAAUUGCGAAGGCAGCUUACUAAAGUAUGAUUGACGCUGAGGCACGAAAGCCAGGGGAGCGAACGGG
rnacentral:rRNA from 1 species